rnacentral:rRNA from 1 species
GUGAAAUGUUGGGUUAAGUCCCGCAACGAGCGCAACCCUUAUCCUUUGUUGCCAGCGGUCCGGCCGGGAACUCAAAGGAGACUGCCAGUGAUAAACUGGAGGAAGGUGGGGAUGACGUCAAGUCAUCAUGGCCCUUACGACCAGGGCUACACACGUGCUACAAUGGCGCAUACAAAGAGAAGCGACCUCGCGAGAGCAAGCGGACCUCAUAAAGUGCGUCGUAGUCCGGAUUGGAGUCUGCAACUCGACUCCAUGAAGUCGGAAUCGCUAGUAAUCGUGGAUCAGAAUGCCACGGUGAAUACGUUCCCGGGCCUUGUACACACCGCCCGUCACACCAUGGGAGUGGGUUGCAAAAGAAGUAGGUAGCUUAACCUUCGGGAGGGCGCUUACCACUUUGUGAUUCAUGACUGGGGUGAAGUCGUAACAAGGUAACCGUAGGGGAACCUGCGGUUGG